GGGGGGGGGGGGGUGUGUGGGUGUUUCUCGGCUACAUUAAUCGAUAAAUCUACUGAGUCAAAUUCUGAUACUCUUAUGCGAAUCGAUGAAUCUUCCCCUUUCAACAAAACAUCCGAUGGAGAUCUGCACACUAUAUAUGUCUAAGGUCUCGAGCCAAGCUGACAUUCAAGCGCCGUCUCAUGCCCAUCUAACUAAUUUCUUAAGGUUCGUAACUUGAGAUCUCUCCUCUCUGUUUAUUAUUUAGAUAUUGGUUAUCAUGUCCCUGUGGGUUUGAGAAAUGAAUUGUCUUUCCUUGAAUUCAAUUCUAGAUUUUUAAAUUUCAGUUAUUUUUAGAUUUUGUAUGGUCUGGGACUCUGGGUUUUUACUCUUUGUUUUCCAGUUGUUUACAGUGUGAUGCUGCAUCUUUUGUUUUCACUUGCUCAGUGGACUGUUUCUAUCUAGAUUGUUUUACUUUAUGUGAAUGGAAGAUGGGUUGAAUAUGCAUUCUGAUUUCUUAAGCUACUUUGAUGGAUUUUGCGGUGUAGAUUAAUUAUUCUUAAAAUUCUGGCUUUUCUGGGUUGCAAGAAAAAGGUUAUUAGCAGAUUCUUCUGUAGGUCAAACCCAUUGUGUUUAUCGCUGCCAUUUAUCGGGCCAGUUCAUCUCAAGGAUGCUCUGAACAUUGCAACGCAUUCCCUCGUUGAUAUGGAAGAGCUGAGGCAAGACUCAUAAAGGAAGCACGACUGGCGGAGGAGGCUAGAGUUACAGAGGAGACAGCCUAAACAGCAAAAGAGGAGGCUAAUUAAAACAGCUUAAGAGGCUGAGUCUGGGAACUUUGGUAUCCAUUUCUAGAUUACUAUUAUCUAUGCUACUACUAAAGUCUUAUACUAGCUACAGUACUACCAUGACUCUUAAAUUUGCGUACGUAUGGAUUUAGUAGUGUUGAACCAGAUGAUAUUAAGGAACCUUUUACUGAGGUAAAUUUCUCUAUUGUCCUCUAUUUUUGCUUUUUACGUGGUUCAGUAGAUUCCUUUUAAUUUUGUUCUAGUCUUAUAGAUAGUAGUAAACUAUUAUACUUGUCAUGUGAUGCUGCCUGUCUGAUUGGAGACAUCUUUUAUUAUGUGUACCAUUAUUGUUAAUCAGUGAUGAGCUUGUAUCCUCGUCUUAGUCGUAGGGUUAAGUUGAAAUGCUGAAAGACAGAAUUAUAUUGUUGCUCAAUCGGAAUAUAUAUGCAUCAAUAAAGCUUAUAGACACAGGAUUAUCGUUUCUAUACCCAACUAAAUGGAUUAAACCAGCCAUUCAAUGUAAGUUUUUACUGAAGAACAAAACUAUAUCCAAUUUGUAAGACACCCACCUUGGUCUAGUUUUUUUUUCCAAAAUCUAGACAUAGACUUUGAAGUGGUUGGUCAAAAACUUCAAACACUGGCUUUUAGUUUGGCAAGAAGUAGGUGUGGGAUUAGGAGAAGGAAGAUGUCACAAGGAUUGUACUACAUAAAGAUUUGGUGGUUAUGACCAGUAUCCAUGUUCAAGAAGAAUUACGAUCAUGUACCAAAAGAUACAUACUUUGGAAUGUACAAAGAAUCAACCUGUGGCAACCCAAACUACUUUCUGACUUAUGGAAAUGAGAAAUCAGCUGCUCAAAUCCAAGAUCAUUUCCGUCCAAAUGGUGCACACAGAUGGCACAAUUAUAUGAAAACCCCAAAUGAGAUCAGACUGGAAGAGGCUGCUGUUCUACACUGCAUAUAUGCCAAAUUUUCGGACUUAACGUCAAGACAUGAUCGGUGUGGCUGCAAGCCUACAAGAGAAUAUG